AACAAGGUCUCCGUUGGUGAACCAGCGGAGGGAUCAUUACCGAGUUAUACAACUCAUCAACCCUGUGAACAUACCUAUAACGUUGCCUCGGCGGGAACAGACGGCCCCGUAACACGGGCCGCCCCCGCCAGAGGACCCCCUAACUCUGUUUCUAUAAUGUUUCUUCUGAGUAAACAAGCAAAUAAAUUAAAACUUUCAACAACGGAUCUCUUGGCUCUGGCAUCGAUGAAGAACGCAGCGAAAUGCGAUAAGUAAUGUGAAUUGCAGAAUUCAGUGAAUCAUCGAAUCUUUGAACGCACAUUGCGCCCGCCAGUAUUCUGGCGGGCAUGCCUGUUCGAGCGUCAUUACAACCCUCAGGCCCCCGGGCCUGGCGUUGGGGAUCGGCGGAAGCCCCCUGCGGGCACAACGCCGUCCCCCAAAUACAGUGGCGGUCCCGCCGCAGCUUCCAUUGCGUAGUAGCUAACACCUCGCAACUGGAGAGCGGCGCGGCCACGCCGUAAAACACCCAACUUCUGAAUGUUGACCUCGAAUCAGGUAGGAAUACCCGCUGAACCUAAGCAUAUCA
rnacentral:misc_RNA from 1 species